rnacentral:rRNA from 1 species
UACGGAGGAGGCAAGCGUUAUCCGGAAUUAUUGGGCGUAAAGCGUCCGCAGGUGGCUAUUCAAGUCUGCGGUCAAAGACUGGGGCUUAACCCUGGAAAGGCCGUGGAAACUGAAGAGCUAGAGUGCAGUAGGGGUAGAGGGAAUUCCCGGUGUAGCGGUGAAAUGCGUAGAGAUCAGGAAGAACACCGGUGGCGAAAGCGCUCUGCUGGACCUAAACUGACACUGAGGGACGAAAGCUAGGGGAGCGAAUGGG